rnacentral:rRNA from 1 species
UACGUAGGGUGCGAGCGUUAAUCGGAAUUACUGGGCGUAAAGGGUGCGCAGGCGGUUCUGCAAGUCAGGCGUGAAAGCCCCGGGCUUAACCUGGGAAUGGCGCUUGAAACUACAGGACUGGAGUACGGCAGAGGGAGGUGGAAUUCCACGUGUAGCGGUGAAAUGCGUAGAGAUGUGGAGGAACACCGAUGGCGAAGGCAGCCUCCUGGGCCAAUACUGACGCUCAUGCACGAAAGCGUGGGGAGCAAACAGG